rnacentral:rRNA from 1 species
GUUGGAUUAGCUAGUUGGUGGGGUAAAGGCCUACCAAGGCGACGAUCCAUAGCUGGUCUGAGAGGAUGAUCAGCCACACUGGGACUGAGACACGGCCCAGACUCCUACGGGAGGCAGCAGUGGGGAAUAUUGGACAAUGGGCGCAAGCCUGAUCCAGCCAUGCCGCGUGAGUGAUGAAGGCCCUAGGGUUGUAAAGCUCUUUCACCGGUGAAGAUAAUGACGGUAACCGGAGAAGAAGCCCCGGCUAACUUCGUGCCAGCAGCCGCGGUAAUACGAAGGGGGCUAGCGUUGUUCGGAAUUACUGGGCGUAAAGCGCACGUAGGCGGAUCGUUAAGUGAGGGGUGAAAUCCCAGGGCUCAACCCUGGAACUGCCUCUCAUACUGGCGAUCUCGAGUUCGAGAGAGGUGAGUGGAAUUGCGAGUGUAGAGGUGAAAUUCGUAGAUAUUCGCAGGAACACCAGUGGCGAAGGCGGCUCACUGG